rnacentral:rRNA from 1 species
AUUGAACGCUGGCGGCAUGCCUUACACAUGCAAGUCGAACGGCAGCAUGGAGAGCUUGCUCUCUGAUGGCGAGUGGCGAACGGGUGAGUAAUGCAUCGGAACGUACCGUGUAAUGGGGGAUAACGUAGCGAAAGUUACGCUAAUACCGCAUACGACCUGAGGGUGAAAGCAGGGGAUCGCAAGACCUUGCGUUAUACGAGCGGCCGAUGUCAGAUUAGCUAGUUGGUGAGGUAAAGGCUCACCAAGGCGACGAUCUGUAGCGGGUCUGAGAGGAUGAUCCGCCACACUGGGACUGAGACACGGCCCAGACUCCUACGGGAGGCAGCAGUGGGGAAUUUUGGACAAUGGGGGCAACCCUGAUCCAGCCAUGCCGCGUGAGUGAAGAAGGCCUUCGGGUUGUAAAGCUCUUUUGGCCGGGAAGAAAUCGCACAGGCUAAUACUCUGUGUGGAUGACGGUACCGGCAUAAGAAGCAGCGGCUAACUACGUGCCAGCAGCCGCCGUAA